UUUAGCUGAACUGAUACAAUAAGUUAAAGCAAGACAAAUAUAUUUUAUUUCACUCUAAUUUAUUGCAUCAGUUCAGGCAGUUUAACUAAAAAGAACAAACCUAAAAUUUGAAUUUAAAAAUUAGGCUUUGGCAUUUUUCUACACGUAAUACGCGUGCAUAUACACGUAAAACGAAAAUUAUCAAGAACAAAAUAAUUAAAUAGUUAAUAUUUAUUGAUUUAAACCUAAAAGAUACAAUGAGAACGUCCUAUUUACAACGGCUCAUCUUAAACACGUGUAUAAACGUGACUUGCUACUCGUAGAAAGGAAAAACAUGUAGAACCAAGAGCAGUGGGGCGAUGCUCUUACCACAUCACAAGGAAACCUAUCCGGUACAACGAUUCCUGCUUAAAGGCGAGAGAAGUUAGUAUGAAAUGCAACUGACAAUAAUUACAAACUCUUGUAUUUUCACAUUUCACCUAUGUACAGAAAAUCCAUCACAAUCAUCCGCUAGAUAAAAAUUUAAAUUGCAAUGAAUGUAAAAAUUUCGUACCGUUAAUUACGAUGUUGUUGUCACUGUAAUGCUGGUACAUAUACAUUUUAAAGUCCCUUCUUAUAUAUAAACCCGCAUUACACAUAUAAUAUAUAUAACAGUAACUAUCAUGUAUGCUUAUGUGUACAAAAAAAUUUACUUUUUACCUGUGUGUUUAUAUUACAAUUUACGAAUAUACAACUAUUUAUAUAUUACAUACAAUUUCACCAAACCAUUGAACUAUAUCAUUGCAUUUUACAUAGUUUAUUCCAAAAGUCGCACACUUUCUCCAAAAUAUAGAAAGAUCGUGUAAUUAAUU